AGGAAGACAGCAUAUGGGCUGUCUCUUAAUAUCUCACUCUUGCUCUGUGACCAGUUCAUCUGUUGUGUGUAUACAUUUCUUUGAUAAAACUAAAGGA